AGCGAGAGAAAGAGAGAGUUGUGGAGUGAAUUUUCAAUCAAUUCUGACGCAUACAGCAAAAGCAGCAGCAGCGAAAGGGCACGCCAGCCAGCCAGCCACUCCUCAGGGGCAUAGUUAACCGCCGAAUACCCCGUCAAGGCAGGCAGGGAAGCGUCAAGUGUCGCGCGCCUUGGAACGGUCAAAGAACAAGCGCGCCAGUAGCAAACGCCGUAGCAAAAGGGGGCGCAGUACAAAGACAGCUCGAUCAAUCGUCAAUCGGUUGCACCAGACCGCGUAAAGUGCGUAGAGAACAUACCAGUGCGCCCAUUGCAGUGGUCAGUAGUUCGGUCCCAGCGAGACGGUGCAACGGCGACAGUGGGAACCCCGCGUACGCAUCCCGGAACAGGAUCGGCCCUCGUGGCAACCGCCUGGAACCGGUCGUCGCGUGGCCAACAACCGCGGGAUUGUCCCCCCUUUCGGCUGGCUGGGAAGGGAAGGGUCCGUGGCACGGGAUUCCCGCUGGUGAAAACGGCCGUACUGUGGUGCUGUGUGUAUGUGCAAAAAAGGGAAAAAUAGAAAGAGAGCGAGAGAGAGAGAGAGGCGUUGAGAAAGAGAGAGAGAGAGAGAGAAGGGCCGUGAGUGAGGAAACUACAGUUUUCCAUCACCAGUGAGGAACAGCCAUUUUGAGUGGGAGAGUGAGAGAGAGAGAGAGAGAGAGAGAAGGCAGGGUAACGGGUAGGCGAUAGGUGAAAUGGUGAAAGAUCCAAAAUCCCGUGAGGGCCUGAAGCCGUGAACCCUGAAUGAAGCCGAUUUGAGCACUGAGUUGGCCCGAUCGACCCAUUUGUUCGGUGUGCACGUGUCCAUUCGAUGUGUUUGCAUGUGAGUGUGAGUGUGUGUUUGUGUGAACUUGGGCCGGAUUGAUCCCCAUACCAACACGGACACGGAGAGUCGGAAAAUAGACGGAGGACUUGCUACUACUGCUGCUGUUGCUGUACCUGUGCCCCAGUAUCAGUAUCCGCAGUACGCGUUUGAUUUGUUGUGCUGGAGAUGCCACAGCUCGACCGUUUCCUUUCAUCACCCACACCUACCCAGCGCAUACGGCGGUGUGUCUGGUUGGAAUAGCCGCGAUCGGAGCAUAAUACACGCCCCUCCUGCGCAGCGAUAAACAUUGGCAUGGGUUUCUGAAGCUAAACACGGGCAAACUACUGCAAUAUAUCGGCAAAUCAACCACACCCAGCAUCGUCGCAGCGUCGGCCCAUCAGUCAGCACAGACACCCGCAAUCAUCCGCACAGCAGUCCACCACCAGCGCACCUGCAACGGGUGGGGGUGGUGUAGCGUGGCGGCGGUGGCCGCGUCGUGGUAGCAGGAGCAGAAGCGGGAGCAGGAGCAGGAAAGCAGCAGCAGCAGCAGCAGCAGCAGCAACCAAACGGCAACCCGGGAGUAGCGAAGGCAAUCUAGCCCAACAGUAGGCGUACGUGAACGCAUUCGCCGGCCCAAAACCGACACAAUGGAGGCCAGAGAGGCACCGGGAGGGGAACACGGCGGUGGUGUGGCCACCGCUAGCCACCGCCCGGCCGGUCCGAUCAACAGUAGUAACCGCUCGGAUCAGCGCGUUGUCUCGGAUCUGUCGGCCAACACGGUGCCUCAGCACAGCACUGGCCUACCCCAGCAGUAUCAACAGCACCAGCAACAGCAUCCCCCACACGAUCCGGCGUCUGGCGUCACCCUCCGGAAGUCGCGCACAAACGCCCGGAGUAAAGAUCGAGCCGCACCGGUGGUUAGUGGCGACGAGGAGGACGCCGUGGACCGGACACACUGCAAGACCCUGCCAGAGCAGCUUGUGGUGCAUCUGAUCAUUGGUUUUCGUGAUAUGUGUGUAUUUACACUAGUGCUACCGCUCGGUACUUUGUUCGUUUGUUUCGUCUCCGCUUACGUCUUCCAACCAGAGGAAAUUCAUGAGACACACUGUCGGGUGUACAAUAUCAUUCCAUCGAUCAGUGCCAUUACCGGCGUCAGCCCGCAACGCUACUUGUGGCGGAUCUCGAUCGCACUGCACAUCGGACCGCGCUUCAUCAUUGCCUUCGUCUACCGGAACUGGUACCGGGCCAUGCUAGCGGACAUCGCCGAUCCAGGUAGGGCAGCCCGAGUCCGCCGAAUGAUCAACACCGUGUAUUGGCUCAACCUGCUCGAGAUCAGUGCCCUGUGCGGUGUUACCUACAUCUCGAACAAGGAAAACUAUCCUUUGCACGAGAAAGUGUUCAUCGUCUUCAUGGUGACCUCGCUGUCGUACAUGCUGGCGACGCUGAAGCUGUUGAAGCUGCUGCAGCCGAACGGACCGCAAACACCGUACGAGGAGUCGUCCCUGCUGUACAAGCAGGCCUUCUUCGCGCUCUCGAUCGCGAGCACGAUUGGGCUGAUACUGUUCUUUCUCAAGCAUCGCUUCUUCUGCCAGGAUCUCGCAUUCAGUUGGUUUGCGCUGUGCGAGUACAUAGUGGCGUCCGCCAACAUGGGCUUUCACUGUACGACCAUGCUCGACUUUCCGACCGAGGAUCUGCUGAUUGCCCGGAACGCGAAACAGUACAAAAAGCCACACGCCUCGCUGGGCUGGAAGGUGGAUUGAGUGCCCAAACCAACCACCACCACACAAAAUUGUACACACAUACACACACAAACACACACCCAAUCCAAGACAGCAGCAGCAGCUGGCCAAGUAGCGGACGGGCUAGGCAGGAUAUACGGGGCCUUAGGGAUGACCCUUUUCCUCGCUUCAUUUGGAUAGCCGUUACUUACUAGUAGCAGGAACCCCCGUAGCAACACUCUCCCAUUCCUCACUUAAUACACACACUAACACUCACACACACUAACACUCACACACACACAUACACACUAUACAAACACGAAUGCGGGACAUAGAGUAGAACUAUUUAUAUGUGUAAGGUUGAGGAGCUGCGUAGCAUAAAUCAUAGGAACUAGCAUAGGAGAAGGAUAGAAUGUUAGGGUAGGAUAAGACUGUAGGCAGAGCCUGCUUGCCACCACAAACGCAGUGUGUCAAUGUGCGAGCUGCAAUAUUCCUGGGUUUGAGAGGAGUGCGGAGUUUGCGGAUCGAUGUGCCGCAAGGCAGGGCAGGCAAACCAGCAACUAGCUGAAUCGCCGUUCGGUUUUCUCGCUAACACGCACGACGCUACACCGGUUAGGUCAUGUGUAGCAGCACGCUUCGCAUGCACAACGUCUCAUCUGUAGCACAACUUCCACGACAGCAAUCUACUAGUCCUCAGCAAAGUCGCUUCGGUCGGAUCGGCUCGGAUCGAGGUUCCCCAACGGUAGAACCCGUCCGACAGGUACGCCCGGCCGACUAUUUCGCGAAAUAUUCGGACCUCCGACCGUAGGCAUUCCCGCCCUGAGGUUCCUGUUUAAGUUGGUCAGCAUUCAAUUGGCCACACUCUUAAUUACCAGUUGUGGAAAAGGUUAGUUUAGCUCACAAUUAGCCACAAUUAGAGGCCGGCGCCUCGCGUUGACGUUAGAGGUCGGGGCUACUUGUUUGCCGAUUCUCCGGGAGUAGCAAUAUACGUAGACGGCUUCCUUAGGCUCGUGGGGGGGCUUAACAAUCGAAGCUGGCAAUCGAACCCACGCCCGAGUGGCAGAGCUACCCGAAGGGGUAUUAUAAUAUCAGGUAUUACGCAGUAGUAGUAGUGAUGAUGAUGGAUCGCAAGGAUUUGUACAAAAGACAACAGACAGAUUAAUAAAAAGAAAGACAGAUAGAGAAAGAGGGGAAGGAAGACGGGGCAGAGAGAGAGAGAGAGAGAGAGAGAGAGAGAGAGAGAGAGAGAGAGAGAGAGAGAGAGAGUCACUCCACUCUACAGAUCAAUCGGUAGACGUCUCCGAUGUCGCUGCAAACACUUGGCCUCGUCGGCGAGCAGGAGGAGUAGAAGAAGGAGGACAAUCAAGUGAUAGAUGGGAAGGAGGAGCGGGCGGUUGUGAUGGUUCGCUGUUGUCCCGCUACUAAACUUAACGCUCAGCGGCAUAAUGCUGACUAUAGCGAGACAUUCGAGGAACGAGCCGACGCUAUACCAGUUGAUAUUACCACUAUGUCACCCAGUAACGGGUCUAAGCUACCUUUCGUAGUGGGCUCCCUUUCCCACCAGGACAACUGACAGUUGUUAGAGAGAGAGAGAGAGAGAGAGAGAGAGAGAGAGAGAGAGAGAGAGAGAGAGAGAGAGAGACAGAGAGAGAGAGAGAGAGAGAGAGAGAGAGAGAGGGCGAUCUUCCGCUCGGAUCGGAUCCCAUGAAACCCGUGAGUCGACGGCACAUGGUUGCGUGGAGGAGCGCGUACAGGAACCCAGCGUAUUUUAGUCCAUUUCCAAGCCACCCUUACCUAUAAGCAAGCAUGCGAUGAACUCAAUAUACACUAUUAAUUCGAAUGUUAGUAUUGUCGAUCGUGUUGUACUAAACAAAAAAAAAGCAACCAACCAGCCAACCAAGCAAGUAAACAACAUAGAGGGACGAUGCUGGAGGAGGUGCUGGCAUAUAUGUGACUGACCUGUGAUCGUUGGGUCAAUAUAUCAGGAGCGUUCGUGGUGGGCUCCCCAUUAGCUGCGGUGGGGAGGAUGUUUUCUUUUGUUUUUUUCAUGCUGUUUUCUAAAAUGUGCUUUCUAAAAUGUCUCUUUCUCUCUCUCUCUCUCUCUCUCUCUCUCUCUCUCUCUCUCUUUCUACCACUCUGAAAUACACACACUUGUUCCCAUUGCAACAGAGCACAGUUUUCUAGUCGCUUUCAACGCAUCAUGCGUCUCUCGCCCCUCCUGGGGAUAGGAAACGGGACCGAAAACUACUCUUGUGAAAGGACGCAAACCGAAAACAAAUGAAAAUCAAAUAGGACGGGGCGGGAGGAACUAAGCAAACACAAACCACACAUCGACAGAAGAUGUCCUUUGCCACUUGUGCGAGUUGAGUUAAGCAUCUAUUACAAGUAGCAGUGAGGCGCCGAAGCAGCGGCAGCAGUGAGCAUUAGCGUGCGAAAAAGGGGGGAGACAGAAGGAGAGGAAAAAAUGUGUUGAGCAUAUUUUUUUAUCUAUUAACGAGCGAUGCAACCACCCACAUUAGCCCACCCAAUUAGCCCCAAUCAACACAGACAUUAUACACACAAACACAAACACACGCGCGCGCAUAUGUAAACUAACGGGAAUUAAAACAGAAGGGAGCGAAUGGCGAGGGGCUAACGGCAACCUAGCGGAAGGCAAGCCAGGCCUCCACAGUCGUAGGCAAGGACGUAGCAGGAUCGGCGAAUGCGUCGUGGGGAUGAUGCGAGACCCGAUUUUGUAGUCCCUUGCCCGUUCCCCCCGAGCAAGGGACUAAGAAACCUCCGCCCCCCGCCCGUCGGUGGGACGGACGUACGGACAAUGCAUUGACGUGGCUAGACCCUUAUAUCAUGCCACCCCAUCCUUCCACGCCUCGCACCAUGCUGUUGGAUCGUUUUCUGUCUGUGAGUGGAAGGAAGGAUGAAGGGUGAGGGCGAGGGCGAGGGCGGAAAGGUAUAUGGGAGGUCUCUGGCUCUGGGAGGUACGAAGCAUCGCGAAAGGAUAGCAGGCAAGGGCAUGGGUGCUCGAAGUUGUACAAAAACCAAAAAACCUACCGCAGCCUGCCCAAUAGAAACGGCUUGGCCCGGGGCGAUGGUAUCCGAAUUGGGAGGGGGCAGGAAGCGUGGCAGAAUAGAGCACCGGUGACCGCCCGGUGGCCAGCUGGUGCUGGAGUGGCGGCCAGAGAUAUAGUUAAUAAAAACAAAAACCGAUAAAAUCAAG